CUUCCCUGUUCCUGAAAAGGUCUAAUUGCUUGGGACAUUCCAACAUUCCCCACCCAGUGCUACGCCCUUUGAGCUGCACCGAUAUAAGAGUGUGUCAGUCACCAUCAGUCACAGACAGGAUACAGAAGCUGCUUCCUUUAUCUUCAACUUUGAGACGCUGAAUCAACAGUAACAACAUGUGCAGGAUGAUCCUGACUGCAGGCCUCUGUUUGAUCAUCGCCAGCUUGGCCAGAACCACCAGUGCUAGCUGUAUCAGCACUAGCACUAAUGGAUGCCCUGCAGGGUUCUGUACUGGGAGGACAGAUGGCAACUACAUCAAUGCAGCCAACCCAAAUUCAUUCUACCAGUGUUCCAAUCAGCUGACCUACAGCACACCUUGCCCAGCAUCAGGACUGGUCUAUAGAGCUCCCUGUGACUGCUGUGACUACCCAAACAACCCAUGUCCUGCCACAAAAACGACAUCUCCUACUACCACUCCCUACGAUCCCUACUGCCAGAACAAGCAAGAUGGCUACUAUUGUUACACAAACGACUACUCCAAAUACUACUGGUGCGUCGGUGGAAGAACCUACAUCAUGCCAUGCCCACAAGGCACGAUCUUCACCCCUAAAGUCAACAACUGUGUCCGUCCUGAAAAUGCUUAAAUACCUGUUGUCUUUGCUCUGGAAUUACUCAGCAAUUUCACCCAUGUAUCAAUAUGUAACAAAACUAUGCUUUUUGUGGAGUCUUGUUGGGCUUUGUUGCUUCUCUGUUCAGGGACAUGUUAGCUAAUUCUGCCACUGAUGGCGCUUGCACUUACUGUAUCUGAUGAAUUAUCGUGGAGAAUAGAAGUGCCUGUUUAUGCUUCUUCAUGCAAACUUAUAUUAAAUCUGGAAAACUCAACACUGUUGCAGAUGUCAACACUUGAACACCGCAGCAGUAGCAAAAGGCUUUAGCCUCAUUCAACAGGCUGAAGCCCUGAAACAUGGUGCCUAGCUCACAGGCACAGGUUGACAAAGCUGCAUGGUUUACUCACCAGUCUCUCCAAAUGAGAAGAAACAAUAACUCAAUAAUGUUAAGCAGUAAUGCCUUUGUAAUGCAUUAGAUAAUGUUUAUUGAAGCAUCGAAGCUCCUCUGAGUGACGCAACACAAAUAGACACUCAAAAAAAAAACAUCAGGCCUAAAACUUUAAAUGUGUAAACAUGUAAAUUUACCAUGUGAUUUUACCACAUAAAUACUAGGUAAGAGGGAACAUUUAAUGUAAAGUCUUUCAGUUAGGUUAGGGUUAUGCCAUUAAAUAAAGGAUUACACAAAGUUAAUGCA
ensembl:lncRNA probable endochitinase